GACGAACGCUGGCGGCGUGCUUAACACAUGCAAGUCGAACGGAAAGGCCCUGCUUUUGUGGGGUGCUCGAGUGGCGAACGGGUGAGUAACACGUGAGUAACCUGCCCUUGACUUUGGGAUAACUUCAGGAAACUGGGGCUAAUACCGGAUAGGAGCUCCUGCUGCAUGGUGGGGGUUGGAAAGUUUCGGCGGGUGGGGAUGGACUCGCGGCUUAUCAGCUUGUUGGUGGGGUAGUGGAUUACCAAGGCUUUGACGGGUAGCCGGCCUGGGAGGGUGACCGGCCACAUUGGGACUGAGAUACGGCCCAGACUCCUACGGGAGGCAGCAGUGGGGAAUAUUGCACAAUGGGCGGAAGCCUGAUGCAGCAACGCCGCGUGCGGGAUGACGGCCUUCGGGUUGUAAACCGCUUUCGCCUGUGACGAAGCGUGAGUGACGGUAAUGGGUAAAGAAGCACCGGCUAACUACGUG
rnacentral:rRNA from 1 species